AUUGAACGCUGGCGGCAUGCCUUACACAUGCAAGUCGAACGGCAGCACGGGUGCUUGCACCUGGUGGCGAGUGGCGAACGGGUGAGUAAUACAUCGGAACAUGUCCUGUAGUGGGGAUAGCCCGGCGAAAGCCGGAUUAAAUCCGCAUACGGACUACGGAUGAAAGCGGGGGGCCUUCGGGCCUCGCGCCAUAGGGUUGGCCGAUGGCUGAUUAGCUAGUUGGUGGGGUAAAGGCCUACCAAGGCGACGAUCAGUAGCUGGUCUGAGAGGACGACCAGCCACACUGGGACUGAGACACGGCCCAGACUCCUACGGGAGGCAGCAGUGGGGAAUUUUGGACAAUGGGCGAAAGCCUGAUCCAGCAAUGCCGCGUGUGUGAAGAAGGCCUUCGGGUUGUAAAGCACUUUUGUCCGGAAAGAAAUCCUUGGCCCUAAUACGGUCGGGGGAUGACGGUACCGGAAGAAUAAGCACCGGCUAACUACGUG
rnacentral:rRNA from 1 species